CACGUAGGGUGCAAGCGUUGUCCGGAAUUAUUGGGCGUAAAGAGCUCGUAGGCGGUUUGUCGCGUCUGCUGUGAAAACCCGAGGCUCAACCUCGGGCCUGCAGUGGGUACGGGCAGACUAGAGUGCGGUAGGGGGAGAUUGGAAUUCCUGGUGUAGCGGUGGAAUGCGCAGAUAUCAGGAGGAACACCAAUGGCGAAGGCAGAUCUCUGGGCCGUAACUGACGCUGAGGAGCGAAAGCAUGGGGAGCGAACAGG
rnacentral:rRNA from 1 species